CUACAAGGAGUUUAAACAAAUUUACAAGAAAAAAACAACCCCAUCUAAAAGUGGGUGGAAGACACGAGCAGACACUUAUCAAAUGAAGACAUUAAUGCAUCCAACAAACAUGAGAAGAAGCUCAACAUCAGUGAUGAUUAGAGAAAUGCAAAUCAAAACCACAAUGAGCUACCAUCUCAUGCCAGUUAGAAUGGUGAUUA